rnacentral:rRNA from 2 species
AGCAGCCGCGGUAAUUCCAGCUCCAAUAGCGUAUAUUAAAGUUGUUGCAGUUAAAAAGCUCGUAGUUGAAUUUCGGAAUCUGUCCGUCGGUCGGGCUUCACUGUCCGUACUGGCGUGAUGGGUUUCUACCUUCUGAAUAACCGGCAUGUCAUUAAUUUGGUGCGCCGGGGAAGCAGAACUAUUACCUUGAAAAAAUUAGAGUGCUUAAAGCAGGCUAUCGCCUGAAUAGAUUAGCAUGGAAUAAUAAAAUAGGACGGCAUGGUUCUAUUUUGUUGGUUUCUAGGAUCACCGUAAUGAUUAAUAGGGAUAGUUGGGGGCAUUAGUAUUCAAUUGUCAGAGGUGAAAUUCUUGGAUUUAUUGAAGACUAACUUCUGCGAAAGCAUUUGCCAAGGAUGUUUUCAUUAAUCAAGAACGAAAGUUAGGGGAUCGAAGACGAUCAGAUGCCGUCGUAGUCUUAACCAUAAACUAUGCCGACUAGGGAUCGGACGAUGUUAAUUUUUUAAUGACUCG